AUGAAAUGGUCCGGUUUAUUUCCUCUUCCUGUGUGGAUUGUAUGUUUCCCGUGUCGUCCAUGUUGUUCAGAUGAUCAGUGAGUUCUUGUGUGUGUCCAGAUUUUAUUAUUUCCAGGAUGUCGUGGACGUAUCUUCUCCAGAGUGUGGGUCUGCAGAGCGGGGAUGGCUUUGGUUUCCAGGUCCUCCAUGAAAAAGUUACUCAUUAUGGCUGAAAGUGGAUCUUUUUUUCAACUUUAUUUUACCAGCAUUAAAACUUUGUCUGCAGAGAGAAAAGAACGACUCCGUUUUUUGCCAGACUGGAGGAUGUUGGAGGGAGUCUGUUAAUCUCUCUGGACCUGACAUUUGAAAACCUCCACCUCUCCUCACCCUCCCAGCCCACUGAUGUGAGGAAAUCCAGCUCUGAACAGACUGAACUUCUAAAUCCCUCCUGGAAGCUUCACCCUGAACAGACAACUGCAACGCCGUGGUAACGGGCAGAUUACAGCGUCAGACGUUCCUGCAGAAACCCUCAGAGCCCAGAGGGAUUCUUACCGAUGCUCAGGAGAUGGACGAGGAGAGGAAACGUUGUCCAUCCUCCAGACGGAUCUGAAGACCCGACCGGCCUCUGGGGCGGCGUUUGGUGAAGUUAUCUCUGGAGGCUGCUGGAGGAUAAAUGUGGAGAUCUGCAGAUAGAAGCCAAGAAGAUGAACGGAGCUGGAGAGGAAGAAGAUCUACGUC